UCUUUGAUAUGUAGAGGUAGAAUUAGUCCAGUUAAAGAGACGAGUUGGAUGUAAAUAUUGAUGUCGGAAUCUCAUCCUUUCUGAAAUUUCCUCCUUUUUCUGUCUCUGGGUGUUUAUUUCUCGUGGUUGCCGUCGAAAUAAUGGCAGCUGUUGUGUCUGUCCAGUUAGAGUCGGCGGCCUACCUCGUCUGCUUGACACACGCUCUGUCUACGGAGCGAGAAGAAGUUAUGGGACUCUUGCUUGGAGAGAUUGAUGAAAAGAAGGUUGCUCAUAUAUCUGCUGUGAUAAUGCUGAGAAGAUCUGACAAACAAGCUGACCGUGUUGAAAUUUCCCCUGAACAACUGUCGGCUGCAUCUAUCAAGGCAGAGGAAUUAGCCAUAGAACUUAAACAACCCCUCAGGGUACUCGGUUGGUACCAUUCACACCCACACAUCACAGUUUGGCCAUCUCAUGUUGACGUCCAAACUCAGGCCAUGUACCAAAUGAUGGAACCAGGCUUCAUUGGGCUCAUCUUUUCCGUUUUUAAUGAAGACAAAAACUCAAAGCAAAACAAAAUCCAAACAACUUGUUUUCAGUCCAGAAAGAGCAGUUUAUCUGAGAAUCAAUUUGAACGUAUUGAAAUUCCGCUCAACAUAGUGCCCAGUGGUAGCAUCGGUCAAGCCUGCCUAGAGUCUCUCGUAGAUCUGCCCAGAAUCAUAAGCCAGGAAGAAGAUGAAGCUUACCAAGGCCUGGCACAGAACUCUGAUAUGGAUCUCAUCACAAAGUUACACAAUGCCUCAGUGUAUAGCUGCAGCCUGGCUCUGAUCAUGGAAGUAUUGAUGGGACCUUUGAUGCAAACCCUGGAAGCAAGGCAUGAAAGAAAUUUGCUACGUAUCCAAGAACUCACCCAAAAACGGCGCCAACUCUUGAACCAGAUUGAAGCUGGGACAUGAACUCAUGAAGCGGAUUAGCAAGGCUUUAUUUUAUUUUAUUAUUUUUUUUGCAGCAAUCAGUUUUAUAUCCCUAUCUCCACACAACUCCAAAAUGUAUUUAACAGACCCCUAACCCUGUAAAGUAUUAAAGCAAAACUGCUUUGUCGUCAUGCCAUAAAAAAA